rnacentral:lncRNA from 1 species
UAAAAUAAAAUAUUUUUUAUUUUUUAUUAUUCAUAACAAUUAUUUUUAUAAAUAUUGCGGUACAAACCAAUUUUUUGUUUCUCAAAAGUUUGCACUACAACAGUUCGUUGCGUAAAACUCUAAAAAUUUGGGUGGGUACCAAAUAUGGGACGCGAGAUUUUUUUAUUUUUAUUUUAAGACUUUGCACGACCAAUAUUUGAAUAUUUUUCAUCGCGCAAAACUUUAAAAAUUUGGGCGGGCACCAAAAGUGGAACGUGGGAAAAUUUUUAAAUAUUUUUUUUAAGACUUUGCACGACCAAUUUUUUUCGUCACGCAAAACUUUGCAUGACCAAUAUUCGAAUAUUUUUCGUCGCACAAAACUUUAAAAAUUUGGGUGGUACCGAAAAUGGGACGCGGGAAAUUUUUUUUAUAUAUUUUUUUUAGACUUUGAGCGACCAAUAUUUUUCAUCGUGCAAAACUUUGUGGGACCAAUAAUCCAAUAUUUUUCAUCGCGCAAAACUUUGCGCCACUAAUAUAUAUUUUUUGUCGCGCAAAGUGAUACGGUUUUUAAAACCAAAAUAACUUCUCCACCAUUUUCUCAAUGUCUUUCUCUACUCUUACCUCUCCUCUCUCUUUCCCUCUCCCCAAAUCCCACCCUUUCUGGAACUCACUCCUCUCACUUAAUCUCUCAUCUCUCUCUUCACUAUCUCUCACUCUCACUCACUCUCACUCACUCUCUCAUCUCUCAUUUCACUAUCUCUCACUCUCACUCACUCUCUCAUCUCUCUUUUCGCUAUCUCUCACUCUCACUCACUAUCUUCUCUAAUUCUCUCACACUCACUUCUCCCUCUCAUUCUCACUCACUCUCAAUCUUGCCAAAAGGUAUAUUCUCUCCAAAUUUUAUUUUUUUUUUCUUCAUUAAUAUGUGUUUUUGGAGUUAGUUUUGAGUUUGUGUGGGCUUUGGGGUUGAGUAUAAGGUGAGGAUUGGAGUUUGGGUUGGAUUUGUGGUAUAACAAUUUUAGAGGAGAUUAUGCCAAUUUUUGUUUUCUUUUUUGUUACUUGACCAUAUUUGUUUUUUUUGUAGGGAAUCGUCGAGACUUUGAAAGAUAAAGUUGAGGAUUAGGACGCUAUCGAAACAUAUUAUCCGCUACUACCACCACAAUAGGCUUGUAUUAGGAUUUUAUUAUUAUACUUUGUUAAUUUAUGUGUACAUUUUCAAUAUUAUAUAUUUAUUUAUUUAUUGAAUAAUUUGAUCACUAUUUUUUCUAUGUAAUUUUAUUUUGAAUAUGUCAAUUUAAAUUAAAGUAAUUAAAAAAAUUCAUACAAUUAAAUUAAAUUUCAAAAGUCAAAAUUCGAAAAAAUUAAUAUAAUUAAAUUAAUAUUAAAGAAAUAAUAAACAAAAAGUCAAAAACCUUGCGCGACGA